AAAAACUCAGAUCUGGAAAUGUCUCAAUUUUUUUUAGGAGGUCAUGUUUCUAGAGAAUACAAAAAGUAUUCUCUAUAAGAUACCUGUAGUUAAUCAAGAGGAUUACCUUGCCUUGAAUUGCCUUCAGUCAUCCUCAGUUAUCCAGAGUUUCCCCUUAUAAUUAGUUGUCCAAUUGACGACUGAUGACUAGCAACUGGCAACUAGUAACUGGAAAAUAUUUCUAUGACCAAUGAGUUAACCAAUAGCUAGCGAGAUGAUGACGAACAGCAAUGGAUCGUGGCGGAGUUUUUUUCAUUCUCGUAAAGUCAAGGAUAUAUACUCUCCUUUUAAUCCUGUUUCUUUUUCGAUAAACGCUCCCCUUUUAUCUUCGUCGAUUUCUAUGCGCAGAAAACACUCCAAAGUGGUCGAGAGAAAGAAGAGAAAAAGAUGAGAAGAGAGAAAGAGGGAGAAGUGAAGGGAGGGGGAGAAUGGCUGUUCUCCAGAGAUCAAGUUAGAGUACCACCACAAAAAACCUGUCCCGCAUAAUUACAUUAUCGGUCACAUCUCGCUCGACUUCUGUCCGCACGACUGUCUCAAGCUUCUGUAUCCCUCUCACUAUUGAACUCCCCACCAAUGUCUUCUUCUUCUUUUCUUCUCUUAAUUCUUUUUUUUUCCUCUUUUUCUUCUACUCAAAAGGGCGCGUAGGAUAUAACGAGGUACAGCCGUGAAAGGCUGCAGGGGGUCGUGUAUACGGUCGGAGGAGACUCAAAAUUUUUUUUUUUACAGCUAUAUACUGUUCCUUUUAUUCAAAAUCGAUAUAAACGAGUCUUUAAACAAGUUUCUUUUCUUUUGUUAAUUCGUUGUGGAUAAAUUGAUAUAUUUAAAUGUAUAAAUUUAAUUAAUAAUGUAAAAAAUACAGUAUUUCUUUUUUCCGUAUAGUUUCAAUAUUAUUUCAAAUUUCCAUACCGCCAUACCAUUAAUAUUUAUUGUUGUAUAUCUUGCGGGCUAUAAGGAAAAACGGUAAGAUAAAGAAAAGACAAUAGUAAUUUCGUUUGUAGAUUUUAUUUAUUUUUUUCUUUUCAUUGACAUGGGAGAUAUUGUACGGACGUACGUUUGGAAUGCGCAUUUUGAAAUCGUAGGAAAACGGGUAACUUAAAUAUUAAAAUGUAUUAUCUCUACGAAUUACAUAACGUGGUUUUUCUUUUAACAUAAUAUUAUAUCUUCGAUAAUAAUCGCUGUUCUUCUAAAAUAUGACAAAAGAGAGUAUAAACGGAUUGAAUAAUGUCUCUUGCGCUUUUCUACUUCGUAGAAAAUAAUUUGAAGAGAGAGUACAGUGAUGGUUUUCGAUAGUACUCCUCGCGUGCAUUUAUUCUUUUUAUUCGGAAAACAUAUUAUUAUUAUUAUUGUUAUUAUUAUUAUUAUUAUCCUAAUUAUAAUAAUUUAAUAUACAAUGAACAAUAUGAGUGAUGGAUAAACGCAUGUUAAGACAAAUGCAUUGAAUAUUUCUUAUUGUUUAACUCCCCUAUACUCUUUUUUUUCAGUCGGUGUUAUGCUUUGUACAAAUAACAUGCGCUAUCCAAUCGUUUCACGAUGAAAUACUAUUCAAUAAUAAGUCGUACAUUUUAUAUAUUAUAUAUAUACAUAUAUAUAUCCAAUAUAUAUGUAUAUAUCCAAUUGCAUAAAACAUAAAGCAAAAGAAUAUGUUAGUUUCUAUAUAACGUUUUCAACUUCAUAACAAAUAUUAUAUGCACGUGAACAAAGUAAAUAUUACAAAAAAAAAAAAA